rnacentral:lncRNA from 1 species
UUGCUAGACCAAGGCUAUUCAGGCAAGCACUACAGAAAGGGCCAAGUUAAGAUCAGUGAUAGCUGUCAGGUGACACUGCCAGCCCCACCACUCCAGGUUGAAAGAUUAUCAGAUUGCUCUGGCCCUGUGAUCAAAGCCUGCCCUCAGAUAGCUUUGAAAUGUAUGCAAGAUCCAGGAGGGAGGCUUCAGGCAGAGCUUACCCUCUGUGUCCUCAGCAAUAGCUCCCUGAAUUGGGGCAGGAGCCUGGUGGCUUCUGUCCGGUUGGUCCCUCCUGUCUUCUCUAGGAACCCCAGACAUUGGCUCAGAGGUAAGGUGAUUGUCCUGCCCUGUGGAGGGGCAGGUGGGGGAGCUCUUUGGUGCUAUGAAAGCCCCUGUUGGGCAGGCCUGGGCCCAGUGCAGGUGUGGUGGGGCUGGGGAGCUGUUCCGUGUCAGCCUCCUGGCCUCUUCCCAGCUUCCUCACAGGCUGCUAUUUGGUGGGCACUGCUUUAGUUAACAUAAACGCUCAUGCUUUUUUCUAUUCCCUCCCCUCCUGUUCCCAGUGUGGUGAAAAAGGACACUACGCCAACAGAUGCACCAAAGGGCACUUGGCCUUUCUCAGUGGACAGUGACAGCAGCAACAGCAGCAGCUGGCAUCACUGUGGAGCAGCCUGAGGGCCCGCUGUUGGGAGCAUGCACUUAGCUGCUGAAUGUAGGACUGGCAGGACUCCGGCUGGAGCUGCAGGCAUACCUGUCAGGGCUCACUCCGAGGGCCAUGUCUGUCCUUUGGUUUUGCUAUAAUUUUUUAAAAGAAGGACCAUGUGCUUCAGGUGGGUCCCCUGAGCCAGAGUUUGCCUGGACAUCAGUGCCUCGUUUUUUAUUUUAUGAGUUAUUUUUCUGGACUUCCUGCACAGUGCCCUGUUGGGGAGAGAGAAGCUGGGAGGCCUAUGCGUGGUCCUGGGUGGAAGACAGCUGGCCAUUCCCCUCAGGGCCUCAUUGAAACACCAGCACCUAAAGAGGAUGGGUGGGUCAUGUGGGGCUGUGGCCGGGUCAGCCUGCUUUCUCCAUGUCCUGCUGACGUCUGAAGCUGUGCCUAUGAAUGUGAUUUGAACAAGGGAGCCCUUCCUGACAAACGUGGAGCACCCUCUGCCUGGCCUGGCCCUCACUGUGGGAGAGGCGCCAGGCUCCCCAGGCUGAGCUGCUUUUCUGGGCUUGCUUGUGGGGCACCUAUGUGACAGUGCUUCAUUCAAGUGCCCCUUUGGCCAGUGCUGGAGACCACCUUUAAAUAGCUGACCCAGUUGAUCUGCGCCUACCUCCUGCCCAGCAAGCUCCAUGCUGCCACUCAGACACCUGUGGCAUGCAGAGGCCGCCCAUCCUUGAGCCUAGAAAAUGUGAACCCAUCACCUGCAACCUGCUGGGCAAGUGGGCCUAUCCAAGUUCAGUUAUGAGAAUACUUUGAUUAAAAAGCUUGUUUUUAAGCCUCUUUCC